rnacentral:rRNA from 1 species
AUUGAACGCUGGCGGCAUGCCUUACACAUGCAAGUUGAACGGCAGCAUGAUCUAGCUUGCUAGAUUGAUGGCGAGUGGCGAACGGGUGAGUAAUACAUCGGAACGUGCCCUGUAGUGGGGGAUAACUAGUCGAAAGAUUAGCUAAUACCGCAUACGACCUGAGGGUGAAAGUGGGGGACCGCAAGGCCUCAUGCUAUAGGAGCGGCCGAGGUCUGAUUAGCUAGUUGGUGAGGUAAAGGCUCACCAAGGCGACGAUCAGUAGCUGGGCUGAGAGGACGAGCAGCCACGCUGGGACUGAGACACGGCCGCGACUCCUACGGGAGGCCGCGGUGGGGAAUUUUGGACAAUGUGGGCCACCUUGAUCCAGCAAUGUCGCGUGUGUGAAGAAGGCCUUCGGGUUGUAAAGCACUUUUGUCCGGAAAGAAAUCGCACUUACUAAUAUUAGGUGUGGAUGACGGUACCGUAAGAAUAAGGACCGGCUAACUACGUGCCAGCCGCCGCCGUAAGAC